rnacentral:rRNA from 1 species
GACGAACGCUGGCGGCGUGCUUAACACAUGCAAGUCGAACGGAAAGGCCCUGCGUUUGUGGGUUUCUCGAGUGGCGAACGGGUGAGUAACACGUGAGUAACCUGCCCUUGACUUUGGGAUAACUUCAGGAAACUGGGGCUAAUACCGGAUAGGAUCUCCUGCUGCAUGGGGUGGUUUAGAAAGUUUCGGCGGUUGUGGCUGUACUCGCUGCUUAUCAGCUUGUUGGUGGGGUAGUGGCGUACCAAGGCUUUGACGGGUAGGCGGCAUUAGAGGGUGACCGGCGACAUGGGGACUGAGAGACGGCGCAGAAUGCUACGGGAGGCAGCAGUGGGGAAUAUUGCACAAUGGGCGGAAGCCUGAUGCAGCAACGCCGCGUGCGGGAUGACGGCCUUCGGGUUGUAAACCGAUUUCGCCUGUGACGAAGAGUGAGUGACGGUAAUGGGUAAAGAAGCACCGGCUAACUACGUG